GAGUUUGAUCCUGGCUCAGGACGAACGCUGGCGGCGUGCUUAACACAUGCAAGUCGAACGGAGCACCCCUGAAGGAGUUUUCGGACAACGGAUGGGAAUGCUUAGUGGCGGACUGGUGAGUAACGCGUGAGGAACCUGCCUUCCAGAGGGGGACAACAGUUGGAAACGACUGCUAAUACCGCAUGAUGCGUUGGAGCCGCAUGACUCCGACGCCAAAGAUUUAUCGCUGGAAGAUGGCCUCGCGUCUGAUUAGCUAGUUGGUGAGGUAACGGCCCACCAAGGCGACGAUCAGUAGCCGGACUGAGAGGUUGGCCGGCCACAUUGGGACUGAGAUACGGCCCAGACUCCUACGGGAGGCAGCAGUGGGGAAUAUUGGGCAAUGGACGCAAGUCUGACCCAGCAACGCCGCGUGAAGGAAGAAGGCUUUCGGGUUGUAAACUUCUUUUAAGGGGGAAGAGCAGAAGACGGUACCCCUUGAAUAAGCCACGGCUAACUACGUGCCAGCAGCCGCGGUAAUACGUAGGUGGCAAGCGUUGUCCGGAUUUACUGGGUGUAAAGGGCGUGCAGCCGGAGAGACAAGUCAGAUGUGAAAUCCACGGGCUCAACCCGUGAACUGCAUUUGAAACUGUUUCCCUUGAGUGUCGGAGAGGUAAUCGGAAUUCCUUGUGUAGCGGUGAAAUGCGUAGAUAUAAGGAAGAACACCAGUGGCGAAGGCGGAUUACUGGACGAUAACUGACGGUGAGGCGCGAAAGCGUGGGGAGCAAACAGGAU
rnacentral:rRNA from 1 species